GUGCCAGCCGCCGCGGUAAUACCGGCAGCCCGAGUGAUGGCCGAUCUUAUUGGGCCUAAAGCGUCCGUAGCUGGGUCUGAAAGUCCAUCGGGAAAUCCACUCGCUCAACGAGUGGCCGUCCGGUGGAAACUCCACACCUUGGGACCGGAAGGCUCGAAGGGUACGGCCGGGGUAGGAGUGAAAUCCUGUAAUCCUGGACGGACCGCCGGUGGCGAAAGCACUUCGAGAAGACGGAUCCGACAGUGAGGGACGAAAGCCAGGGUCUCGAACCGGAUUAGAUACCCGGGUAGUCC
rnacentral:rRNA from 1 species